rnacentral:rRNA from 1 species
GUAGGGAAUAUUGGGCAAUGGAGGCAACUCUGACCCAGCCAUGCCGCGUGCAGGAUGACGGCCCUCUGGGUUGUAAACUGCUUUUAUACGGGAAGAAAAAAUACUACGUGUAGUAUACUGACGGUACCGUAAGAAUAAGGAUCGGCUAACUCCGUGCCAGCAGCCGCGGUAAUACGGAGGAUCCAAGCGUUGUCCGGAUUUAUUGGGUUUAAAGGGUGCGUAGGCGGAUCUUUAAGUCAGUGGUGAAAGCCUGCAGCUUAACUGUAGAAUUGCCAUUGAAACUGAAGAUCUUGAAUGUGGUUAAAGUAGGCGGAAUGUAUCAUGUAGCGAUGAAAUGCUUAGAUAUGAUACAGAACACCGAUAGCGAAGGCAGCUUGCUGAACCAUUAUUGACGCUGAGGCACGAAAGCGUGGGGAGCGAACAGGAUUAGAAACCCCGGUAGUCC